AACCGUUGUCCUGAUGCGAAAUUGUUGC
rnacentral:sRNA from 1 species